rnacentral:misc_RNA from 1 species
GUCAAGGCCAAAGCACAUUUCAACGCGCGCUAGCAGACGACAAUUUUUCCAUUUCAGUAGUCAGCUUACUAACCAGCGAAACAAGUUAUAGUAAUAAGAUAAGGCUACUCUUAGUUCUUAUUCAUAAGAUUUGUAUACAUUGAUGAUUUCAUUGAUGUUUUUUCUUCUUUGUUCUUCAAAUAAUUAAUAUUUAUCAGGAAUGGAAGAUCAAGUAGUAGCAGAAAUGGGCCAUAAGAGCGAUGAUGAUGAAGAGUCAUUUUUUGCUGACAUUGAUCAACUUCAAAACCAUGGGAUUAAUGUUGCUGACAUCAAGAAACUGAAACAGGCGGGUAUUUGCACCAUAAAGGGCAUUCAUAUGACAACAAGAAAAAAACUUUGCAACAUCAAAGGCAUCUCUGAAGCAAAGAUGGAGAAAAUUAAAGAGGCAGCAUCCAAACUUUGUGAUACUGCUUUCCAAACAGCUUUAGAAUAUGCUGAUAAGAGGAAACAAGUUUUUAAGAUAUCGACAGGUAGCACUGAACUCAAUAAACUUUUAGGAGGAGGAAUUGAAAGCAUGGCAAUCACAGAAGUAUUUGGAGAAUUCAGAACAGGAAAAACUCAACUCUCUCAUACUCUGUGUGUUACCACACAAUUACCAACAAACCAAGGCUACAGUGGAGGGAAGGUUGUCUUCAUUGACACAGAAAAUACUUUUCGGCCUGAUAGGCUAAGAAACAUUGCAGACAGAUUUAACCUGGAUCAGAACGCUGUUCUCGAUAAUGUUCUUUAUGCAAGAGCCUACACAAGUGAGCAUCAGUAUGAGUUGCUGGACUUCGUGGCAGCAAAAUUCUAUGAGGAACCCGGUGUGUUUAAACUCCUGAUAAUUGAUUCUGUCAUGGCAUUGUUUCGGGUGGACUUCAGUGGUCGGGGAGAACUUGCUGACCGGCAACAGAAACUUGCUCAACUGUUGUCCCGAUUGCAGAAAAUAUCUGAAGAGUAUAAUGUUGCAUGCUUUGUCACCAAUCAAAUGACUGCAGAUCCUGGAGCAGCAAUGAGGCAGAUCCAAAAAAGCCCAUUGGAGGGCAUAUUCUAGCACAUGCUUCUACCACUCGAGUAAUGCUUCGUAAGGGUCGAGGGGAGAACAGAAUAGCCAAGAUCUAUGACAGUCCUGACUUGCCAGAAAAUGAGGCAACCUUUGCAAUCAGUGGUGGAGGAAUUGUUGAUGCCAAAGACUAACG